UGAGGGGCAGGUGCGCUGGAGACACUCCUUUCCACAGUGCUCAGGGUGCUGGGCGGGCCCGGAGAAGACGCUCUCGGCUCUGACCGAGCCUGUGACCAAUGCCACAGACCCCUCCACCUAUGACAGCAGCAGCUCUGCAAGAAGCAGGCCCCUGAGCCAAGCCUGCAGAAGGCUGCCUGCAUCCACCCUAAACCCACCAGGAUGACCACCUAAGAAAAUGAACAUAUUUAUUUCUACAUUCGGAAAUAAUUAGAAACAAUGUGACAGUUUAUUAAAUAAAGUUGAAGUAACAAGAACCUUCCUUUAACUUCCAAAGUCAAAGAUUUUGAAGAAAAAAAUGGUUUUUAUGUUGAGACAGGGACUCGCUAAGUUGCCCAGGCAGGACUUGAACUUGCAAUCCUUCAGCUUCACCCUCCCAGAUGCUGGGAUUCUAAGUAUGCACCACUGUCCCAGCAUAGGAGAAGAGAUCUUUAUCUACUCUCCAAAAGGAUUGUUCCAAGCCCUCCUGGAUCUGCCUCUAAUUAUGCACAUAGGAAUCAUGCUUCACUAAUACAGAUAUGUACAGCCUGGUAAAGGACACUGGAGCCUGGACCUGUGCUCCCAUCCCAUGGUGUGUGUUGAUGAAUCUAGAGUUUUCCCUUUUGUGCUUCUGUCCUGCCCCAUGUGUAUUCAGUGGAAAGAAAACAUGGCCUUUGAUACCAGAGAGACCUAGAACCAAAUCCAAUGUGGAUCCCACCUUUGAGGACCUGGGUGCACUUGGACAAGAGUCUUUCUCUAAGACACAGUUUUCUUUAUCAUUUUCUGGGUUAUGGUAAAAAUUACAGGUAAUAAUUGUUAAGAAUUUGCAUGGAGACUACACAUGGAAAAUAGGCAUGACUAUGAGAUUUGGUAUUUAUGAGGCAUCAUUGAAACAUAUGGUGAAUAUUUAAAUUAAAAAUUUAUUAUGGUAAAGGACACAUUGCCAUUACAGUACUAAGCCCCCUCACAACAUUCUCCUUUGCUUCAAAUGCCCUUGUCCCGUCAUUCUUGACACUUUCUGAAGCAGUUUGGGAAGCCCUCUUUUGUGAAUGCAUUGUCAUGGCUGCCCCAACAUUCUGAACUGACUCUAAAUGAUCAUUUUGAGAUUAAGGCAGGGCCAGAAGUCUCAUGGUAUCAGAUCCAGAGAAUAGGUGGAUAAGGACACACUGCGAUGUUUUUACAAGCCUACCUUUGGAUGGGUGACCCUUGGCAGUAGCAUUCACCAAAUUUUUGAUCACACCUCAUAAAGACUCACAAAUGAGGAUUUUCAUUACUGCUUCAGAAAGUGACAAGGAUGAUGGGUUGGCUAAGUGUGUUCAGAAUGAGGGUGAAUGUUUUGAGGGAAAUUAAUGGCAAUUUGUCUUUUAUUGUAAUAAUUUUUUUAUUUAAAUCUUUAUCGUAUAUUUCACCUCCUAAGUGUCAGUUUAUGUACCACCUGUUUGAAAUCUUCUUGGAAGCUUUGUAGAUGGAAACAAGUUCUGCCUGCUUGAGUACCCAAAUGUGUUUUAUUUGUACUUACUUUUAUACUGGCAUCUUAGCUACUGUAUAUAAAGUACAGUAGGAAUAGAUUGUCUGCUCUAUAAAACUUGAAAUUUCUAUAGAAAAGAUUCUAACUUCUAUAUUUACA